rnacentral:rRNA from 1 species
AGAGUUUGAUCAUGGCUCAGAUUGAACGCUGGCGGCGUGCCUAACACAUGCAAGUCGAGCGGUAACAGGUGUAGCAAUACAUGCUGACGAGCGGCGAACGGGUGAGUAAUGCAUUGGAAUCUUCCCAGUAGUGGGGAACAACCAGUCGAAAGAUUGGCUAAUACCGCAUACGUCUGUGAAGAGAAAGCGGGGGAUCGUAAGACCUCGCGCUAUUGGAUGAGCCAAUGUCGGAUUAGCUGGUUGGUGGGGUAACGGCCUACCAAGGCGACGAUCGGUAGCUGGUCUGAGAGGAUGAUCAGCCACACUGGGACUGAGACACGGCCCAGACUCCUACGGGAGGCAGCAGUGGGGAAUUUUGGACAAUGGGGGCAACCCUGAUCCAGCCAUGCCGCGUGCGGGAAGAAGGCCUUCGGGUUGUAAACCGCUUUUGGUCGGGACGAAAGGGCCUCCUCGAAUACAGGAGGUGGUUGACGGUACCGGCAGAAUAAGCACCGGCUAACUACGUGCCAGCAGCCGCGGUAAUACGUAGGGUGCGAGCGUUAAUCGGAAUUACUGGGCGUAAAGCGUGCGCAGGCGGUGAGUUGUGUCUGCUGUGAAAGCCCCGGGCUCAACCUGGGAAUGGCAGUGGAAACUGGCUCGCUGGAGUGUGGCAGAGGGGGGUGGAAUUCCGCGUGUAGCAGUGAAAUGCGUAGAGAUGCGGAGGAACACCGAUGGCGAAGGCAGCCCCCUGGGCCAACACUGACGCUCAGGCACGAAAGCGUGGGGAGCAAACAGGAUUAGAUACCCUAGUAGUCC